GAGGCACCACUCCAAAUUCUCGCCGCUAAUAAUAGGGUGUCUUCUUUAGUACCAUUCUCGUUUGCCCAGCUUCGUUUAUGGUGUUACUUUUUUGAGGUAGGUGUGCUAUCAAGGUUGCGACAACGAUGCUCGAAGCUCAGAAACAGCUUGCGUGACGUGUAUUUGUGAAAUGCAGAAUUUUAGAGGGCGCUGCGAAAGCCCGUGCGAGAAAACGCCGAUAAACUGUGACGCACCUGCUAUCAUUUCACUGUGCUGCAGUGCUGUCGCCAGGUAUAGUCAUUAACGUUGCGUCCUCUACUGGAUUCACUGCAGGCAAGAUUUGGUUCAUCCGCAACGGAGUACUGCUGUGCAGCACCGAAGCCCCAACAUAUACGACAGCGACGACUGUGGCAGAGCAGGGCUAUAUAUUAUCGACGGUCGAUGCUGAUGUUAUAGAAAGUUAGCCCGAGCCAUUUUCAGCAUCUGUCAUGACGCAAGGAGAAUUGGACUUGGUUUGCGAUGUACUGAUGAUAAUGUCCAUGCAAGACCUGCUGUCCCUACAGGACGCCAAUAUGCCUUGGAUACCAGACUUGAGGAAUGCUACGCAGGUGGAGGCUGUCCACUCCAUUCGACUUGCCCUGGAAGCUGUCGACGCUUUUGAGACCCGUAAAUUGCUCAUUGGCUCGCUCUUGCGCUAUCUCGCCGGGCGGCGGGCACUGCGCUUGCGACGUUAGUAUGGUGUCAGCAGUGUCCGCACUCCCGCUGCAUGCGGCGGUGACCGCCAGCUUCGUUCUGCCCGAGCGAUUGGAGACCGCUGGGAAAUAUGCGGGCGGCCAUACCAAGUGCAUGUGCGAUCAGCGUUCGCUGCUGUAUCUGUUCGUACACGCCAUGACGAGCUGCGAAGGGCGUGUCACUGCCGCUGUCCACUUCGUGCUGCAAAAAGAAAAAAAAAAACUGAAGAAAUACUCGAAGGCCAUUUCGACAAACUCGGCUUAGCAUUUGCCGGUUCCCGUUGGCGCACGGUUUAUGAAUAACGCCAAGACAGGAGGCCUCUUGAAUACUUCUGACCGAGAAGACCCGAUAGUAGUCAAGGAACCUGACUAGCCUUCUCGCAAGACAAGACGGCCUUCUGGACGGUUCCGGUAGCAAGCGAAGGGAGCGGCGGACAUAAGGGCAUUUCCAUCUGCCAAGGCUGCCAAAAGGUACUUCCCGAGGGCUCCAACCAAACAAAGGAGACCUUCAUUGCUUGUCCAAACGGCGGAAGCGAACGGUACGAAGAACGUGUGUACUGCAUUUGUGAAAGGUGCCCGAACAGGGGACACAGUGUUGAGAAGUGAAUUGAACAGUAUUAAUUUUUCCCGAAGCAAGGGUGAACUCCACGGACGCAGCGUCUUCGAAGUGGGAGCCCUUCAAUCGCUGCCCUGGACCCAAUGAUGAGCGCUGGUACCGAAUCCACAUUACGUGGGCCCUAAAACAGGCUCUGAAUAUUGACGACCACGCAUGUCUUCAGUGACUGAAAGCGAAAAUUCCCUUUCCACGCAAUUUUUUACGUCCGGCUACACGACUGACUAGAGUAUCUAAAUUACUGCCAUCUUUAAAACCCAUGAUUACGCGAAGGCUAUGAGCUACUGUAUUUAAAACUGAACAGUGCUCACUGCAAAAGUGACCUCUCUGCUCCGCGAAAAUUUAAUUCAGUGUGUUAAGGUUCGUGUCGUUAAACUUUCUCCUCAGAGUUCUUAUAUUUCUGACGUGUUUCUUGUGAAACGAACUUGAUGACUUCAUCUGUAUAUUGCUGUACUUAUAUUUAAUAAAUUUUGAUUUUUGCCCUUGA